rnacentral:rRNA from 1 species
GACGAACGCUGGCGGCGUGAAAAAAAAAAAAAAAAAAAACAAAGUGGGGACGGGUGAGUAACACGUGGGUAACCUCCCAUCAGAGGGGAUAACACUUGGAAACAGGUGCUAAACCGAUACUGAUGGAUGGACCCGCGGUGCAUUAGCUAGUUGGUGAGGUAACGGCUCACCAAGGCCACGAUGCAUAGCCGGCCUGAGAGGGGGAUCGGCCACACUGGGACUGAGACACGGCCCAGACUCCUACGGGAGGCAGCAGUAGGGAAUCUUCGGCAAUGGACGAAAGUCUGACCGAGCAACGCCGCGUGAGUGAAGAAGGUUUUCGGAUCGUAAAACUCUGUUGUUAGAGAAGCGGUAUCUAACCAGAAAGCCACGGCUAACUACGUGCCAGCAGCCGCGGUAAUAC